GUGCAAUGGCAUAAGCUAGCUUGACUGCGAGCGUGACGGCGCGAGCAGGUGCGAAAGCAGGUCAUAGUGAUCCGGUGGUUCUGAAUGGAAGGGCCAUCGCUCAACGGAUAAAAGGUACUCCGGGGAUAACAGGCUGAUACCGCCCAAGAGUUCAUAUCGACGGCGGUGUUUGGCACCUCGAUGUCGGCUCAUCACAUCCUGGGGCUGAAGUAGGUCCCAAGGGUAUGGCUGUUCGCCAUUUAAAGUGGUACGCGAGCUGGGUUUAGAACGUCGUGAGACAGUUCGGUCCCUAUCUGCCGUGGGCGCUGGAGAAUUGAGGGGGGCUGCUCCUAGUACGAGAGGACCGGAGUGGACGCAUCACUGGUGUUCGGGUUGUCAUGCCAAUGGCACUGCCCGGUAGCUAAAUGCGGAAGAGAUAAGUGCUGAAAGCAUCUAAGCACGAAACUUGCCCCG
rnacentral:rRNA from 1 species